AUUUUUGUUGUAAUAUGGGGACGAAGUCCCCAAUAACAGUAGAAAAUUUAAUAAAAAAAAAAUUCGGGAAAAUUUCCCGAAUUUUUCAUUGUAU
rnacentral:sRNA from 1 species